CGCGCGGCGUGGGGUGGAACCCGGCCGCCUCGAGCGCGGCGGCGAGCGGGGACUCGGUGAUCGGGACGCCGUCGGCGCGU
rnacentral:tRNA from 1 species